rnacentral:rRNA from 1 species
CGAACGAGAUUAUCCAGCUUGCUGGAUAUGAAAGUGGCGCACGGGUGCGUAACGCGUGAGCAACCUACCUCUGUCAGGGGGAUAGCCCGGCGAAAGUCGGAUUAACACCGCAUGACAUUAUUGAUGUGGCAUCACAUUAUAAUCAAAUAUUUAUAGGACAGAGAUGGGCUCGCGUGACAUUAGCUAGUUGGAGAGGUAACGGCUCACCAAGGCAACGAUGUCUAGGGGCUCUGAGAGGAGAAUCCCCCACACUGGUACUGAGACACGGACCAUACUCCUACGGGAGGCAGCAGUAAGGAAUAUUGGUCAAUGGAGGGAACUCUGAACCAGCCAUGCCGCGUGCAGGAUGACUGCCCUAUGGGUUGUAAACUGCUUUUGUCGGGGAAUAAACCUACGUUUGUAAACGUAGCUGAAUGUACCCGAAAAAUAAGGAUCGGCUAACUCCGUGCCAGCAGCCGCGGUAAUACGGAGGAUCCAAGCGUUAUCCGGAUUUAUUGGGUUUAAAGGGUGCGUAGGCGGUUCUUUAAGUCAGAGGUGAAAGACGGCAGCUUAACUGUCGCAGUGCCUUUGAUACUGAAGAACUUGAAUUAGGUUGAGGAAUGCGGAAUGAGACAAGUAGCGGUGAAAUGCAUAGAUAUGUCUCAGAACCCCGAUUGCGAAGGCAGCAUUCCAAGCCUUUAUUGACGCUGAUGCACGAAAGCGUGGGGGAUCGAACAGGAUUAGAUACCCUGGUAGUCCACGCCCUAAACGAUGAUAACUCGAUGUUGGCGAUAGACAGUCAGCGUCCCAGCGAAAGCGUUAAGUUAUCCACCUGGGGAGUACGCCCGCAAGGGUGAAACUCAAAGGAAUUUGACGGGGGCCCGCACAAGCGGAGGAGCAUGUGGUUUAAUUCGAUGAUACGCGAGGAACCUUACCCGGGC